GGUUAAGCGACUAAGCGUACACGGUGGAUGCCCUGGCAGUCAGAGGCGAUGAAGGACGUGCUAAUCUGCGAUAAGCGCCGGUAAGGUGAUAUGAACCGUUAUAACCGGCGAUUUCCGAAUGGGGAAACCCAGUGUGAUUCGUCACACUAUCAUUAACUGAAUCCAUAGGUUAAUGAGGCGAACCGGGGGAACUGAAACAUCUAAGUACCCCGAGGAAAAGAAAUCAACCGAGAUUCCCCCAGUAGCGGCGAGCGAACGGGGAGGA
rnacentral:rRNA from 4 species